UACGUAGGGGGCAAGCGUUGUCCGGAAUUAUUGGGCGUAAAGAGCGUGUAGGCGGCCAGAUAAGUCCGCUGUGAAAUCUCGAGGCUCAACUUCGAGCUGUCGGUGGAAACUAUCUGGCUAGAGUCCGGAAGAGGAGAAUGGAAUUCCUGGUGUAGCGGUGAAAUGCGCAGAUAUCAGGAGGAACACCAAUGGCGAAGGCAGCUCGCUGGGACGGUACUGACGCUGAGACGCGAAAGCGUGGGGAGCGAACAGG
rnacentral:rRNA from 1 species